rnacentral:misc_RNA from 1 species
AACCUAGAAAUGAAAAGAAUCAAUGAUGUCACAAAGAAAUUUUGAUUAAAAAAAAUCUAAUGGAGAAGAAACAGUAAAAGGAAAAGAAUUAGCUGCCCACAUCUAAGGCACUAAAGUACAAGUCCACUUUAGCAUGAUGACAAAAUUAUUUCCCCAGCUUUAACAAACUUCAUAUUUUAGAUUCUUUCUUGUAAACAAUUCUUUGAUGUUAAUUAUUAGAAAGACAUUUGAUCAUCAGAAUGGAGUUGCAAGUAGGUUCAUUGAAACUUCGAAAGAAAUUGUGUAUACAAUAUAUAUGAGCG